rnacentral:piRNA from 1 species
UCCCCUCUAUGUAUGGCCACAUGCCCCUA